rnacentral:rRNA from 1 species
AUUGAACGCUGGCGGCAGGCCUAACACAUGCAAGUCGAGCGGAUGAGGAAAGCUUGCUUUUCGAUUCAGCGGCGGACGGGUGAGUAAUGCCUAGGAAUCUGCCUGUUAGUGGGGGAUAACUCGGGGAAACUCGGGCUAAUACCGCAUACGUCCUACGGGAGAAAGUGGGGGAUCUUCGGACCUCACGCUAACAGAUGAGCCUAGGUCGGAUUAGCUAGUAGGUGAGGUAAUGGCUCACCUAGGCGACGAUCCGUAACUGGUCUGAGAGGAUGAGCAGUCACACUGGAACUGAGACACGGUACAGACUCCUACGGGAGGCAGCAGUGGGGAAUAUUGGACAAUGGGCGAAAGCCUGAUCCAGCCAUGCCGCGUGCGUGAAGAAGGUCUUCGGAUUGUAAAGCACUUUAAGUUGGGAGGAAGGGUAUUCACCUAAUACGUGGGUACUUUGACGUUACCAACAGAAUAAGCACCGGCUAACUCUGUGCCAGCCGCCGCUGUAACAC